rnacentral:rRNA from 1 species
CCUACGGGAGGCAGCAGUAAGGAAUAUUGGUCAAUGGACGCAAGUCUGAACCAGCCAUGCCGCGUGAAGGAUGAAGGUCCUCUGGAUUGUAAACUUCUUUUAUAUGGGACGAAACCCUCGAAUUCUUUCGGGAUUGACGGUACCAUAGGAAUAAGCACCGGCUAACUCCGUGCCAGCAGCCGCGGUAAUACGGAGGGUGCAAGCGUUAUCCGGAUUCACUGGGUUUAAAGGGUGCGUAGGAGGGCAGGUAAGUCAGUGGUGAAAUCUCCGAGCUUAACUUGGAAACUGCCGUUGAUACUAUCUGCCUUGAAUAUUGUGGAGGUGAGCGGAAUAUGUCAUGUAGCGGUGAAAUGCUUAGAUAUGACAUAGAACACCAAUUGCGAAGGCAGCUCGCUACACAUAUAUUGACUCUGAGGCACGAAAGCGUGGGGAUCAAACAG